UUUGGGUUAUGGGGCCAGAUGAUGGGAAAUUAAUAAGAAGGUGAUGAGGACAAAAGAACUUGUUUGGUUCAAGGGUGGAUUGGAAUGAAUAAUGGAAUGGGAAUGAAUUGGAAUGGUAAUUGAAAUCCGCUAAGAUGUUUGGUUUAUUUGUGGAUUGAGAAUUGGAAUGAGUUAUUCACAUCUCAUUGUUUGGUUCGUAUAAACUAAAAAAAUUAUAGAAUACUAUAAUAUUAAUUUUACUCUCAAAUAUAAAUUUAUAUUAUUUAAAAUUUAUGAAAAAUAUAAUACUAUUCUCUAAUAAGUUUUCCACAAAAAAAUAUCAAAUUUAUUUUUAAAAACUUUUAUUGAUGUGGAUUAGGGAUAGGAUUUUGAGAGUGGAUAGUUUUUUUUUUUUUUUUUUUUUUUUUUUUUUUGAUGAGAAAGGAGUGAAGAGAAGGAGGGUGAGAUGGUCACAUGGGCUUCGAGAACUUAGUGGGCUUCCGGAAUGAAAUCUCAAUCCGGGCUAGAAGACCAGAAUCAAAUUGAAGGCUAAUGGGCCAUUCCCAUUCUAGUUCGGAAUAGGAAUCCCAAACCGAUUCAUGCGAACCAAACAAAAUUAAUCGGAUUUGAUCAAACCAAUUCCCAUUCCAUACCCAAAAUGGAUAAACCAAACAAGCCCUAAUUUCCAAAUUAGAUUACUGGUAUAUUAUUGUUAUUAAAUUUUUUAUCAUUAAAUAAAAAAAUGUACAAUUAGAAUAAUAAUAAUUUUUUAAAAUUUAGUGAAUAAUUAAUUAAAUAAUAUAAUUUAACAGAUAAAAAUAAUUAAAUAAAAAAAUUUAAUGAUUGAAAAAUCUAAUAGCAACAAACUUUUGAUACUAUCUAUAUUUUUUUGCUUCCUUUAGAGAGGUACUAAUUAUUGGUUGGUAUAUAUAAUUCCAAGCGUCGGAAUAAUAAUAUUUUUAAAAAUGAGUCAAUGAGUCAACAGAGGCUACUCGGUUGACGCGACUAGUAUACGACGGAAUCAGAGAAUGCCGUGUAGAAAUUAGAGAUCGGCACAUACAAACAAACAAAUCAAUCUAUUUAUAAUCUUAUAAGGGGUGUUUGGCCUAACUUUUAAAAAAUAUUUUUGAAUUGAAAAAUAAUUUUCGGUCCAAUAAAAUGUUUGGCAAUCUCAUUUUUAAAAUCUGAUUAUGCUUCUCAGAAUUAAAAAACUGAUUUUGAAGGCCCCAGAAUCAGAAGCUGAAAAAAGCUGCUUUUUAAAAUCUGAUUCUGAUUUUGGACUCAAACUUCAAUUUCUUAUUUUAAUUUUAAAUUCAAUAUUUUAAAUUUAAUUUAAAUUUUAAAUUUUAAUUUUUAGAUUCAUCUUUAAAUUUUUAAAUUUUAACUUUUAAAAUUUAAAUUUUGAAAAAUAGAUUUUAAACUUUAUAUUUCAAAUUUCACAUUUCAAAUAUUUCACAUUUCACAUUUCACCAUUUCACAAUUUCACAAUUAAAUUUUAACUUUUAAAUUACAAGUAAAUUUCAAAUUUUAAAUC
rnacentral:lncRNA from 1 species